UUAAAAGAUAAACACGAAACCCCCACUCAAUUAUUUUCUUUCACGUUUCCAUCUUUUUCUUUCUACUAGAAGCUUCACCAUUUCUUCAUCACCCCCACUGUCAAUUGUCUUCUUCUCCUUCUUCCAAAUAACCAAAUUUCUUCCAUAAACCAUAUACUCUUGAGUGAAAACAAAACUACACAUCUAAGCAAAGCUACCUUACAGUCUUACAAGUACUAGUGGAGAUGAUUUUGGGAUUAGGGUUAGUGCUCUAAGAAAGGAGAUGCAUACCCACUCUUUGAAAGUUACUUAUUGAGACUCUUUGAGAAAUGACGUUGGAAGCUUCACAUGCUUUUCAGGAGUGGUAGGAGAGAAAACUAAGUUGAUUCGUCAUAACUAUUCAAAGUCAGCUGAGUAGGGGUUUCUAACAGAGUUAAAGAUCUGUCAAUGUCACUCUUUGGUAGGCCUUCUUGAUGAAAAACUAUUUUGUAUAUGUAUAUUUUGAGUCGAUCGAGUAUCUGCAGCUAUUUUGA